GCACCCCUGCUGUGCUCGCGAUCAAUCUGACCUUGUUAUGAGCCAACACCAACACAAAGGGAACCUGGAACUCGCAGCAGCCAGAACACGCCCUCUAAAACUGGGACGUUCGCACUGCUGCGGAGGGUACCCACCUGCCUAUGCAGGUUCAUUCGGGUCAGCACUAGCGGUACGGCGGGGGACGG
rnacentral:other from 1 species